UACACUCCUACGGGAGGCAGCAGUGGGGAAUUUUGGACAAUGGGCGAAAGCCUGAUCCAGCAAUGCCGCGUGAGUGAAGAAGGCCUUCGGGUUGUAAAGCUCUUUUGUCAGGGAAGAAACGGUGAAAGCUAAUAUCCUUUGCUAAUGACGGUACCUGAAGAAUAAGCACCGGCUAACUACGUGCCAGCAGCCGCGGUAAUACGUAGGGUGCAAGCGUUAAUCGGAAUUACUGGGCGUAAAGCGUGCGCAGGCGGUUUUGUAAGUCUGAUGUGAAAUCCCCGGGCUCAACCUGGGAAUUGCAUUGGAGACUGCAAGGCUAGAAUCUGGCAGAGGGGGGUAGAAUUCCACGUGUAGCAGUGAAAUGCGUAGAUAUGUGGAGGAACACCGAUGGCGAAGGCAGCCCCCUGGGUCAAGAUUGACGCUCAUGCACGAAAGCGUGGGGAGCAAACAGGAUUAGAUACCCCAGUAGUCCC
rnacentral:rRNA from 1 species